GGCUGUAGCUCAGUGGCAGAGUGCUUGCCUAGCAUGUGUGAGGUACUGGGUUUCAAUCCUCAGCACCA
rnacentral:tRNA from 1 species